rnacentral:misc_RNA from 1 species
GAUGAAGAGCGUAGCGAAAUGCGAUAAGUAGUGUGAAUUGCAGAAUUCAGUGAAUCAUCGAAUCUUUGAACGCACAUUGCGCCCGAUGGUAUUCCGUCGGGCAUGCCUGUUCGAGCGUCAUUUCAACCCUCAAGCGCAGCUUGGUGUUGGGUGCUUGUCCCGCCUCCGCGCGGCGACUCACCUCAAAGUCAUUGGCAGCCCGCAUCCGCCGGCCGUGAGCGCAGCACAGUCGCGCCCUAGGCCCCGGCGGAUCGGCUCUCCAGAAGCUACCCCCCAAUGUUGACCUCGGAUCAGGUAGGGAUACCCGCUGAACUUAAGCAUAUCAAUAAGCGGAGGA